rnacentral:rRNA from 1 species
AUGCAUGUCUAAGUACAAGCCUAAGUAAGGUGAAACCGCGAAUGGCUCAUUAAAUCACACCUAAUCUACUGGAAUGUUAGCAGUUACUUGGAUAACUGAGGUAAUUCUUGAGCUAAUACAUGCGAAAAAUCUCGACGCAAGGAGAGAUGCUUUUAUUAGAUCAAAACCAAACGGUCUCGACCGUCUAUUUGGUGACUCGGAAUAACUUUGGGCUGAUCGCAUUGCCUUGUGCAGGCGACGUUUCCUUCGAAGGUGUGCCCUAUCAACUGUCGACUGUGAUAUAGACGCUCACAGUGGUUUUGACGGGUAACGGGGAAUCAGGGUUCGAUUCCGGAGAGGGAGCCUUAGAAACGGCUACCACA